GACGAACGCUGGCGGCGUGCUUAACACAUGCAAGUCGAACGGUGAAGCGCCUUCCUUUUUGGGUGGCGUGGAGGAGUGGCGAACGGGGGAGUAACACGUGAGUAACCGGCCCCCUUCUUCGGGAUAACCGCAAGAAAGGGUGGCUAAUACGGGAUAUCCUGGGUCUGUCGCAUGAUGGGUCUGGGAAAGAUAUGGUUUCGGUGGGGGAUGGGCUCGCGUCCUAUUAGCUUGUUGGUGGGGUGAUGGCCUACCAAGGCGGUGACGGGUAGCCGGCCUGAGAGGGUGGACGGUCUCACUGGGACACAGACCCGGCACCGCCUCCUGAGGCAGGCAUGAGUGGUCAAUAUUGAUCAGUGAGCGCCAGCCUGAUGCAGCCCCGCCGCGUGAGGGAUGGAGUCGUUCCGUUUGUGAACCUCUUUCGCCAGUGAAGCAGGCCUGCCUAGUUUGUGGGUGGGUUGACGGUAGCUAGAGAAGAAGCGCCGGCUAACUACGUG
rnacentral:rRNA from 1 species